ACGUCGAACAGUGAUUGCGCGUCGCCGCCAGAGGGAAAAUGCUCAGGCCAAAAUUAGGAAGACGGCUGAAAAGUUGCUCCUUAAUCAUCUUAAGGCAAUGAGGCUCAAAGAGCUAUCUGUGGAUCUGGAGAACCAGAGGAAACUGAAUGAUGCAAAGGGUAAAAAGGUUAUAACAGAAGCAACUGGAAUGAUGGAGAACAUGGCUGAAGGAAAUGGCUUGGGGGCAGAAAAUUAUGACAAAGAAGCAUUGGAUGAGAUGUUGGCAGCUUCUAUUCAAGCAGAGGAAGACUGGAAUUUUGCUGAUGAUGCAUCAACAUCUUGUGCUGCGGCACCUGCUGAAAAUGAUAACACCGAUGAAGAUGAAGAGAUGAUACUGCCAGAUACACAAGGAAAAGUUGAUCCUUCUGUUUUAGCUGCUUUACCUCCAUCUAUGCAACUUGAUCUUCUUGGUCAGAUGAGGGAGAGAUUGAUGGCAGAGAACAGACAAAAGUAUCAGAAGGUUAAGAAGGCCCCGGAGAAGUUCUCAGAACUGCAAAUACAAUCUUAUCUGAAGACUGUUGCUUUUCGACGCGAGAUAGGUGAAGUUCAGAAAGCUGCUGCCGGAAGGGGAAUAGGUGGUGUACGCACUUCAAGGAUUGCUUCUGAAGCAAACAGGGAAUUUAUUUUCUCCUCAUCUUUUACUGGGGACAAAGAUGUCCUUGCAUCUGCUGGGGAAGAUCAAACUAGUAAGAAGUCAAGUGAAGUACAAACAGAAAAUAAUUUGGCAAAUGCUGCAAGUGAUGCUUCGACAAGGAAAUCUAGUAGCGUGCUAGAAUCGAUUGUGUCUGAGCCUGAAACGGCAUUUAAUGAUGAUGUGGAGACAUAUCUGGAUGAGAGGGGUCAUCUUCGAGUCAGCAGACUGAGAGCCAUGGGUGUUCGUAUGACUCGAGAUUUGCAGAGAAAUUUAGAUUUGAUGAAAGAAAUUGAGGAGGAGAAUGUGUCCAGAAAUAAAGAUUUUAGUGAUGUGCCUACUGUAAGUGACACUGAUGUACAUACCCCUGUAAUUGUCUCUGACACAAUUUCGCAUCUGAACUCAUCCAAUCCAGAUGAUGAUGGGAAGGCUUGUUUAAACAACAAAAAUGAACAGUCUGAGUUGAGA
rnacentral:misc_RNA from 1 species